GAGGGAUUAUUUUAAUUUAUACUAGGGGCCUUAAAAGACCCCUGUGGGAGUUAAAACCUCCUAACCCUUA
rnacentral:tRNA from 1 species